AAAAAUUAAUGUUAUCAAAAACGUCAUUUACAACUGUGGUUCAAAUUUCAAUAGAAUUGACUUCAAAGGCUUCUACACCGCUGUCUUAGAAACAAAUGGGGAAAUAGUUUGUGUUGCAGCUCUAAGGUACUUUGCUACCUUAAUAUAGAGAAACUAAUCAUUCCAUCUGCACCAGAAAAGACAGAAGUUG